rnacentral:misc_RNA from 1 species
CGAAUUUUUGGCAAAGACUGAGAGCUAGUAGAAUUACCUAAACCAGUUUGCUGAGCAAAUUUCAUGGGCUUUUCCUUUUUGUCAGUGGCAAUCUAUUGCAUGUGCUUUUGGUUUCUUUUAAGAUUCUAAGGAAUUGGACCUCAAGGAAUGAAAUUCUUUUUAUGUUAUCCUAGAACGAUUUUAUUACUUUAUUUUGAGGAAAAGAAUUUAUGGAAUGAUUUUAGAUAUUAAAAGUAUCUGUGUUAGGGCAUAGAGAUUAUUAGAUAAAGUUUUCAGUUAACUAGCCAUUAGCUAUUAUGAAUUUCCUUAAAAUUUGUUGUUGGAAAAAUCCAUUGGCAUAUGAUGCUCUCUAUAUGCAGGCAAGGUUGUAAUUUUUGUGUCAG